UACAGGGGGGGCAAGCGUUGUUCGGAAUUACUGGGCGUAAAGGGCUCGUAGGUGGCCAACUAAGUCAGACGUGAAAUCCCUCAGCUUAACUGGGGAACUGCGUCUGAUACUGGAUGGCUUGAGUUUGGGAGAGGGAUGCGGAAUUCCAGGUGUAGCGGUGAAAUGCGCAGAUAUCAGGAGGAACACCGGUGGCGAAGGCGGGUCUCUGGGCCACUACUGACGCUGAGGAGCGAAAGCGUGGGGAGCAAACAGG
rnacentral:rRNA from 1 species